AGGCAGCAGUGGGGAAUAUUGCACAAUGGGCGAAAGCCUGAUGCAGCGACGCCGCGUGAGGGAUGACGGCCUUCGGGUUGUAAACCUCUUUCAGCAGGGAAGAAGCGAAAGUGACGGUACCUGCAGAAGAAGCGCCGGCUAACUACGUGCCAGCAGCCGCGGUAAUACGUAGGGCGCGAGCGUUGUCCGGAAUUAUUGGGCGUAAAGAGCUCGUAGGCGGCUUGUCGCGUCGGUUGUGAAAGCCCGGGGCUUAACCCCGGGUCUGCAGUCGAUACGGGCAGGCUAGAGUUCGGUAGGGGAGAUCGGAAUUCCUGGUGUAGCGGUGAAAUGCGCAGAUAUCAGGAGGAACACCGGUGGCGAAGGCGGAUCUCUGGGCCGAUACUGACGCUGAGGAGCGAAAGCGUGGGGAGCGAACAGGAUUAGAUACCCUGGUAGUCCACGCCGUAAACGGUGGGCACUAGGUGUGGGCGACAUUCCACGUCGUCCGUGCCGCAGCUAACGCAUUAAGUGCCCCGCCUGG
rnacentral:rRNA from 1 species